ACUAAGUCCCGCCGGAAUUUUGUGUUCCCCUCGGGACGGUGUCGCGGUAACACCGGUCCACUUCCGGGUUGCGCCCGAUGUUGCAAUAACAACGCUAAUGACAGAUUGACAUCUGGUGUGGGGAGUUUGAUGUGGCGAUCUGUGAGAGGAUUAUGGAGGCGGAGUAACCACAUAAAAAGAGAAGUGCAGAGACCAUGAGGAGGGUUGUGGAUUCUAUUUGGUCGUUCGUUCUCCCGGCUAUUCUUCCUGGUUGGCUUGCCCCUGUGUGUGGUUCUUCUCUUUGGACGUGUUCCCCUAGGAGAGGUGAAUUCCUGGGACGUUUGGGCUGGCGUGUGGAGGUAUUUGAAGACUAUUGUGGGGUUUCGGUUAUCUGGCUGUGUAACAGAUAUAUCAGCGAUCGAGUGGAGAUAUUCAGGACAGAAAGAGUGUGAGUUCUGGAAAGCAAGUGAAGACCAGACCGCGCCAUCGCUAUCGGAGGGAAGUUAAGAGACCUGAUCUGGGAUUUCAAUCAAUUGUAUACAUCUGGACUGGGACUGAUAACGUUGUGAAGUGGACGGAGUCAUCGUUGGGUGAGUGCUGGCUCUAUUUGCACUAAGAGUGGGUGUGCCGUGUCUGAAGUGGUGUGUUUGCACAAUAAAUCGUUUGAAGUGAAGUUACAGAGUGUGGGGAAGAUACAUAGAGUUAAUGCCGGACGCUCACCACCCCGAGAGCCCACCACCGUCACCGUAAUCCACACCCAGGCACUUAACCGAAGCCUCUCCCAGCCGUAAGCCCCACUACUUAUUCAAGAACACAUACUUGCUGUUGAUUACUUACUCUGCUGUGCAGAUCGCAGGAUCCUCUGGGCCGAAUGCCGCAUGUGAUGUCCCUAUGAAAAGAGGUGGACACAAGAAUUAUUCCUUUCCCGGUCACAACCGAAGCCUCUCCCAGCCGUAAGCCCCACUACUUAUUCAAGAACGCAUACUUGCUGUUGAUUACCUACUCUGCUGUGCAGAUCGCAGGAUCCUCUGGGCCGAAUGCUGCAUGUGAUGACCCUGUAGAAAGAGACCACAGGAUUCUCUGGGCCGAAUGCUGCAUGUGAUGUCCCUGUAGAAGGAGGUGGACACGAGAAUUAUUCCUUUUCCCGGUCUCGACCGAAACAUCCACGAGCUCUACUUACCCGGAUACCCUCUCUCACUCCGGGACGGGCGACAGACUACCCUGGCUCUUGCUGGCCCCGUACAGGCACAAACUGCCGACGACUCUACGCCUUCCCGGCGUCCGAGGUCUGGCUCCGUUCUGGUCGGGAGACACAGAAGGAACAAUGAACUUUUAAAUUGCUUUUAACCAAAUAAAACCUUGUUCAUUUUUUAUACUCUCGUCCGUCUGGUUUUUCUGGCACGCUCCCCGAGGUGAUCCUGGGUUUCAGGGGUGGGUGCAGUCCGGCUUGGCCCCCCCGACCU